UAUUGUAUCAUCAUAUUAUUAGAUGAUUUUAAAUUAAAGAUAAAAUAACACUUAAUUACAUAAUAAUAUAUUAUCUAUAUGUACUAAAAAUAUGUUCAUAUAACAUUACCCUAAGAUUAUGUUGAAAAUAAAAUUACGAAAAAAAAAAAAAGCCAGUAUUUGUUGAACAAAAAAUCUCCUCUCGGGAAUAACCGUUCCGAGGCAAUUCAAGUGAUAAAGUCGAAUGGUGCAAUUCAAGCAGCUCCUCUCUGCUGCACUUCAAUCUUUGAUCUGUUUAUUUAAAAGAACAAAGAGAACAAGAAUUGUGAAGCCAUCGAAGAUAUGCGAGACGGAGAUGGACGGUUAGAUCCAACUUGAUCUGAUGAAGUAAACAGAUGCAAGUUCAUGCCAUACCUCAAUUUGAGAAUUUAUCUUACAGAACAACAGGAUGAAAUCCUCGGAUAACAAUUUUAGGGUUUCUGGCGGUCCGAAUGAAGCAAGCCCAAAAUGGGUUAGCACAGCAUCACGAAUGGAAAGAUGCUUCUUCUUUGAUAGAGAUGAGAAUGGCUGCCGAGAGACAUCUGUAAGGGAAGGACUUCUGAGAGAGAAAUGGUGUAAUUCUUGGAAGAUUGAUGAAGAACAAAGAGCUGCAUCGCUGACUUGGAGCCUACGGAUGACCCACUCGUUUUGCCGCCUCUACUCAUGAGAGGAAGCUUAGUAUUAAUAUGAAGGAAAAAAGGAGGAAAACACUGAAGAAACAUAUAUAGGUGAAUCUGGGAAAGAAGAAUAUAUUGUUGCACAAACUAUAUUCAUGUUGGAAUAUUAAAGGCUGAAAAGAGCUUACAACUCAACACUCAAAAGGCCAUACAAGGCUGUUUUGAAGAACAAAGAAAGAAAAGACUGUUUUCAAUAUAUUGAGAACCCAAUUUUGCUGGACUUCUCAGCUGACUCUUUACCUGUCUCUCUCAAAUCUUUCUAUAUAAAUAAGGAAGUAGAGGAGAAAGAGGAUGAGCUCUCAUAUUAAAUCGUCUCUUCACUCCUUUCAUCCUCGAACCUUCAACCUUAUUUUACAUAAUAUGAUCUAUUAGCCCAAUCAAAUACCGAAUCAACAAGUAAAGUUGAAUAUCUCUCCCCAAAAGAAAAGGAAAA